rnacentral:tRNA from 1 species
GGCCAUGUGGCUCAAUGGCAGAGCGUCUGACUACGAUUGAGUAUAUCAGGAGGUUGCAGGUUCGACCCCUGUCUUGGUCA